rnacentral:sRNA from 1 species
CACCACCUGAGCCACUUACAACCCCAUCGACCUCAUCCACGACGAUGCAAACAGGUUUGCCGGGCUUUCGAAUCCUUUUACCACCAGCAUCCAUGGUCACCCCUUUCACAUUCUCAGUGCCAACUGCAUCUCGAAUUCGACCUUUGACAACGUCUCGACUUCUUUCAUCACUUGCAUUGAUCUCAAGAACUUCAUAUCCUGCCUGCUUUGCACAGACAUGAGCGAGAGUAGUUUUACCGAGGCCAGGGGGUCCAGUCAGGAGCAAAACUUUCCGGCCCGGAAAUACAAUUGAGUCCCAUCCCUUCAGCCAGCGUAAAACAGAGCGAUGCGUCCGCUCAUCACCAAUGAGAUCCUUAAAUUUUCGUGCACGGUAUUUUUCAGUCCACAUAAGGCUUGAUCCAUUACUUUUCAGAGGAUCAUUCGCCACUUCAACAGAUAGAUGGUGAGGAGAAGGUUGUAAACGGCGGCUGCUUCCCUGUGCAUCUUCGAUUGCGAUAUCGUCAAGUAAUUUGUGAAUGUCGAUUCCAUAGUAACUUCUUUUUGCUCUUCCUGGAACUGUAGUUGAACGCUCUGCAAUUGUUUGCUCAUAAGAAACAGGGGCAGUCCUUGUUCUUUUUCGCAGAUUAACGACUUUACCGAAACAUGUGCGGAUAGUCACCAUUUCCUUUAACACAUCAUUCACGUGUGUCGAAAAUAUGGAUUUGGGGGAAUUUCUUAUCCCAUAGCUAGCAUUGGAACCGGAAGGCGCGCUUAUAUGGAUUGCAUCCAAUGAUGUACUGGUAUUGUAGCUCUUAUCCUGACAUAUACGGUUUACGCUGG